GACGAACGCUGGCGGCGUGCUUAACACAUGCAAGUCGAACGGAAAGGCCUGCUUUCCCUUGUGGAUUGCGGGUACUCGAGUGGCGAACGGGUGAGUAACACGUGAGUGAUCUGCCCCCAACUUGGGUAUAAGCCUGGGAAACUGGGUCUAAUUCCCGAUAGGACUGCAGGGUGGUGCCUGUGGUGGAAAACGAUUUUCUAGUGGUUGGGGAUGAGCUCGCGGCCUAUCAGCUUGUUGGUGGGGUAAUGGCCUACCAAGGCGGCGACGGGUAGCCGGCCGGGGAGGGUGGACGGCCACAUUGGGACUGAGAUACGGCCCAGACUCCUACGGGAGGCAGCAGUGGGGAAUAUUACACAAUGGGCGGAAGCCUGAUGCAGCGACGCCGCGUGGGGGAUGACGGCCUUCGGGUUGUAAACUCCUUUCGACCGCGAGGAAGCCACCUGGUUGGAAGGGUGGUGACGGUAGUGGUAGAAGAAGCACCGGCUAACUACGUG
rnacentral:rRNA from 1 species